GAGAAGAGGUCCGCCCAUGCUAUGGCUGAACUUUAGACGGCCCGGUUACUUUAAUCCACGCCCGCCCCAGUCCACUGCUUUACCCGGUCCAGUUUCCCUUUGAGGCUUAGAGUAUUGAAACGACGUUGUAUGUAGUUAAAACUACGUCGUUCCCCCCCGGUUAAACGACCCCCAUCCCCUUCUCUCUCUAUCCGCCACCCAACUCCGCCGUCCGGGAAUCGCCUUCCGGUGGCAGAACACCUCCAAACAGACUCAAAAUAUCACCCCACACACGCUCAUUUCUCACCUCACUCUGAUUUGGAGAACCCACUCACUCUCACGCUCAGAGGGAGGCUGAAAUUAACUCUCUCACACUCAUUCAAAAGGAAACGUUUCAGAUCGAGAUCAGAAGAGGAGAGCCUCAGAUGCACGAAAUUUGUUUGAAAAAAAAAGAGACUUCGAAGAGUUUUUUUUUUGAGUUCAGUUGAUUUAGUUAUACAAUAGCUGGGUUUUCAAAGUUGAAUCAAGCUUUCGAAGGGCUAUUUUAUUGCUGAUUACUUGAUGGGAUUGCAGCUGUACUUCUUCCUCUUUCAUCAUUGUAUUUCUCUCUGUUUUUGUUCCCUAAGGUACGGUUCGAUUCUCUUAGAGUUAUCCAGAUUUGAAUCAAUGAAAUAAAUGACAUGAUUAUAAUUGUUCGUUGUUUUAUGCGAAGUUGAAAAUGCUGUCGUGAUGUUCUGAAUUAUGUCCUAUAAGCAUGUGGAAUUUGUCCCUCAAAUCUCAAUUCAUGAAACAUGAAGUAGCUUUCGAUUAUGUGUUUGAUUGAAAUAAGUGUAUUGGAUUUGAAGUUGAUUUGCAGCUUUUGAAAUUCAAACGAGUGCUCUUCAGGAAAAUAGCUUCAAACAGAUGUAUUUGGGUUGUAGAUUAGCUAAACUAAUGCUCUAACCCUCCUUAGAGGAAGGACUCGUUAAUGUUUCCUUCAAAUCAGUGAUUUAAUGGUUCAUAUCCUGUUACAUGAAUUUAUUUUCCAUUUGAAGAACCUGUGUAACGACCCGAUCGGUCGUUUUGCUUUCUAGAUUCUCGUUCCCCUAAAUAAGACCCCGUAUAUGCUUUUACUGUUUCAUGACUUGUGGGAAUGGUUAGUUCGGGUUUGGAAGGGUUCGGGUUGAAAUCAGAACACUUAGUUCCUUAAUAUUGGCUUUAAAGGGUAAUUUUGACUUGGGUCAGCAUUUCUAGUAAAUGACCUCGGAAUCGGGAUUCGACGGUCCCAAUAGGUUAGUGUGAUGAUUUUGGACUUGAGCGUAUAUUCGAAUCGGUUUUUGGAUGACCUGGGUUUUAAAGUUCUUUAAAUUUGGUUUGAAGUAGGUUUUGGUGUCAUCGACGUAUGUUUGGGAUUCCGAGCCCGAGAAUAGUUCCAUAUAAUGAUUCAACAUUUGCACGCAAAAUUUGGUGUCAUUCCGAGUAGUUUAAGUAUGAUUCGGCGCCUUCGUAGCGAAUUAGAAGAACUUGAAGUUCAUAAGUUGAUUCGAUUUGGUUUGGAGUAUGAUUCUUAGUUUUGGUGUUGUUUUUCGUAUUUCGUGAGAUCGAGCAGGUCCGUUUUAUGAUUUCGAACUCGUUGGUAUGUUUGGACGAGGCCUCGGGAGCCCCGGAUGCCAUUCAGACGAUGCGCAGAACUCGUUUGGACUUGGAGAGAUGGCUGAAACAGCAGAGCUUCUGGUGCAAUUGCAAUUGCGAGGAGCGAGCUCGCAGGUGCGAGCGUGUGGCCGCAAAAGCGGUUUUGGGCGAGUUGGCUGUGGCUCGCAGAAGCGGCCUCGCUUCUGCGAGGGAAGGGCCGCAAGUGCGAAGAGGGCCGGCCAGGCCUGGUCCGCGAUAUAUUCUGAUUGUAUGGCAGCAAUAAAGCGGUAUCAAAUACAAGGAAGAUGGAUAUCUAUAUUCUGGAAACAUCUCUUCAGAUUGAAUAUAUCUUCCUUGUCAUUUUAAUCUCACUAAUUGAUGUGAUUAUAUUUUUCAAAUAAUCGAGUCUGUGUAUCUUAAUCUUCACCUUACACUUUAAGCUGAAAAAGUACUAACUUUAUUAAGCUGCCAUGUGCUGAUGUUUGAACUUUGAAAGAACCACUUUAUCUUUCCUUUGUAGGUAGACAAGGAAACCGAAAGAGUCCUACUCUUGUACUGUAGCCAGCUAUUGUCUAUCCAGAAAGAUUAAUUCUCCAUAAUGUUCUACUGGAACAAGAGGGUGGUAAUUGAAUAAGUUCUCGUAGUUGUGACCAUCAUGUAGCUAUGAACUUUUGCAACAAACUUUACAUUUGUGAGAGACAGUUUAAGAACAAGAAUUGAAGCAGUUAAUUUAGCGUCUCUCCAGUUACAGAAGUAAAGAUUUGCUAUCACUGCUACUUAACAUUGACCUUGACAGAAAAAUAGUAUAGUAGAAAGUUUUCAAGUAACUGUAUGGGGAUGCUAUUCUUGGUCCCCUAGUGAAAGCUAUUAGAUGAUCUAUACAAAAGUGAUGUUUUAUACUUCAAUGCUAAGAGGGGGUGAUUUGUGUGGUGUCCAAUUUUCGCGUGCACUGUUUAUAGAAGGACCUGAUUCUUCUAUGUGUUCCUUAUACUACUGUUGCGGAAAUAGUAAAUGCGAAAAGUAAAGAACACAAGUAUUUUUACAUGGAAAACACCGGACUCAAAAGGUGAAAAACCAAGACCUACUACUCAGUAGGAUUUUUUCCAACACUUCAUUAAAUCACUGAGCUAAAAUAACAUUUAUAAAACUCUUUGUAAACAUAAGGAUUACUUCUAAUCCCAUUGUAGCAACCAGCCUCUAAUUGUUGCGACAACUUCAAGUUAACUUUAACUUGAAUACUCAGAGUACCUAAUACAAUUGCCUCUAGAUAAAGCUGAAAGGUACAAUUUGAAAACACCUACUACAAUGAAACUAGAAUAAAAGACAGACACUUGGAACUAGUUCUUCUAUCUGGUUCAUGUAACUUCAUGUUUGCACACUUGAAUCACACAAGAAUUGUUUGCAAAAUGCCUUGCUAUUUUUCUCUCAACUCAAGUUUAACUUUAGCGUUUGUACGUACCUGUAGAAUGAGAACAUCCUGCAAUUUAUAGAGUUAGUAGAAUAAGAAAAAACUAGAGUUCUAAUGCUAUACUCUUCCAUGGUGGAAGAGUUCUAGUUAUCUUCAACUUCUAACUCCUCUAUUAUCUUGAAUAAAGUUCUAUUCGAGUAAGGAGUCCUCCUUAUCAUUUAUGCAAACUUUUCGAUCAGAAGAUAUAAGAUAUAACAACUUAAACUUAUCUCCUUCACGUGCAUCCCUUAUGCUUGAAUCUAUCCGUGUCUGUGUACACUGUGUAUGCAUCUGGUUCAUGUUUGAGUUCCUUUGUCAUUACUAAACUGCUCGAGGAACUCACGAAACGAGUCGAAGCCAACGACAAGAGGGUGGUACCAUCGAGUGAUAAAAGGGCUUGAUUCAAAAAAAUUCAUACAAAAGCCUUUUCCAUCGAGUGCGGCACCGAAGCCAAUCCCCAAAAAGUUCCGUAUGCCCGAAAUUCUCAAAUACAACGGUACGACCGAUCCUAACGAACAUGUCACCUCUUACAUGUAUGCCAUAAAAGGCAACGAUUUGGAAGAUGACGAGAUUGAAUCCGUUCUAUUGAAAAAGUUCGGGGAGACCCUCUCGAAAGGAGCUAUGAUUUGGUACCACAAUCUACCACCAAAUUCCAUAGAUUCUUUUGCCAUGUUGGCAGAUUCGUUCGUAAAAGCACAUGCUGGUGCCAUAAAGGUCGCAACGAGAAAAUCAGACCUCUUCAAAGUAAAGCAAAGGCAAGGAGAAAUGCUGAGGGAAUUCGUAUCCCGAUUUCAAAUGGAACGCAUGGAAUUACCCCCGGUCAUCGACGACUGGGCCGUACAAGCUUUCACCCAAGGAUUGAACGAGCUAAGUUCGACAGCAUCACAUCGGCUGAAGCAAAAUUUGAUUGAGUACCCGGCGGUAACUUGGGCAGAUGUACAUAACCGAUAUCAAUCGAAAAUUAGGGUCGAGGACGAUCAGUCGGGGACCCCGUACGGACCUGUUCAUCAGAACAGGACAGUUAUUAAUCAAAAGCAGAUCGACAGAGAACAAAGGUCAAAUAGAGACCGAUAUCGACCAUACAUCACCGAUCGGGUAAACAAUGGUUCAACACGCAACGCAGUUCAGAACAGUCAAAGAAUUGAUCAGGGACAAAAUUCUCGGGGGCUUAUGAGUAAGAGCGGCUUCGACAAACAUGCCGAACCUAUAGAAGCACCUCGAUUAUCAGAGUAUAACUUCAGCGUUGGCGCAUCCGCUCUCGUAUCGGCCAUCGGACGCAUCGAAGACACUAAAUGGCCCCGACCAAUGCAAACCAAUCCUGUCCGGAGAAAUCCCAAUCAAACGUGUGAAUACCAUGGAACCCAUGGCCACAGAACGGAAGAUUGCAAGCAACUAAGAGAGGAAAUAGGUCGCCUAUUUAACAAAGGGCACCUUCGGGAGUUUCUGAUUGAUAGAGCAAAGAGCCAUUUUAGAAGUAGGGAUGUCAGCAAGUAGAACGAGCAAGAAGAACCACAACACAUUAUCCACAUAAUCAUCGGCGGCACCGAUACCCCCCGGGGACCGAUGCUUAAGCGCACUAAAACAUCGAUGGUGAGGGAAAAGCGAUCUCGGACUCAAGAGUACGCACCCAUGGGGACUUUGUCCUUUGGUGAUAAAGAUGCAGAAGGGGUCAUCCAACCUCACAAUGACGCCCUGGUAAUAUCCGUACUCGUAAAUAAAACUAAGAUUAAGCGUCUGUUGAUCGAUCCAGGUAGCUCGGCCAAUAUCAUCCGAUUAAAGGUAGUAGAGCAGCUCGGCCUGCAGGAUCGAAUCGUGCUUGCAACUCUGGUCCUAAACGGGUUCAAUAUGGCAUGUGAAACCACCAAAGGGGAGAUAGCCUUGCCAAUAAAUGUGGCCGGAACUGUCCAGGAAACAAAGUUUCACGUGAUCGAAGGCGAUAUGAGGUAUAACGCCCUUUUCGGAAGGCCAUGGAUCCAAACAUGAGAGCCGUGCCUUCGACCCUGCACCAGGUCCUCAAAUUUCCGGCGUCGGGAGAAGUCAAAACGGUAUACGGAGAGCAGCCAGCCGCAAAAGAAAUAUUCGCCGUCGAUGAAGCCAAACCAAUGUCCUCACUUUCGCCGAUAAAGGGCCCGGGCCCGGAAGGAGAACGGGACACCAAAUAGCAAUCACAGACAGUGACUGCAACCCAGCCUGACAACCAGAAAGUCGAAGAGAAUGAAGACCAAAGGGUCCCUCGAUCUUUCGUAACUCCUGAUGACUCCGAUGCCACAAAAUCAACAAUCGAGGAGCUAGAACAAGUUGUAUUAAUCGAGCGCCGACCCGAGCAAAAUGUAUACUUGGGAACGGGGCUGAGCCCUGAACUCAGGAAGAAACUCGUUCAAUUUCUUAUCAAUAUCAUCGAUUAUUUCGCCUGGUCCCAUUUAGAUAUAACAGGGAUCCCGCCGGACAUAACGACGCAUCAGCUAAGUUUGGACCAUCGGUUCAGACCGGUGAAGCAAAAAAGAAGACCCCAGUCCGAUAGAAAGAACACCUUCAUAAAGGACGAGGUAACCAAACUUCUCAAAAUAGGGUCCAUUCGAGAGGUAAAAUACCCCGAAUGGUUAGCCAACGUAGUCGUAGUCCCUAAAAAAGGAGAUAAACUUAGGAUGUGCGUGAACUAUAAGGAUUUGAACAAAGUAUGCCCCAAGGAUUCUUUUCCAUUGCCCAACAUCGAUCGCAUGAUCGAUGCCAUGGCCGGCCACGAGAUCCUCACUUUUCUCGAUGCCUAUUCCGGGUAUAAUCAAAUACAGAUGAACCCGGAGGACCAGGAGAAAACCUCGUUUGUCACCAAAUACGGGACGUAUUGUUAUAAUGUGAUGCCCUUCGGGCUAAAAAAUGCAGGGGCCACUUACCAACGCCUAGUGAAUAAAAUGUUCGAAGAACAAAUAGGAAAAUCAAUGGAGGUUUAUAUUGAUGACAUGUUAGUCAAAUCCCUACGCGCAGAGGACCAUUUAAUUCAUUUGCAGGAAACGUUCAAGAUUCUGAGGAAAUACAAAAUGAAGCUCAACCCCGAAAAAUGUGCCUUCGGUGUCGGUUCGGGCAAGUUCCUCAGCUUCAUAGUAUCACAUCGGGGAAUAGAGAUUAACCCCGAUAAAAUCAAGGCUGUUGAAGACAUCACCAUCGUAGACAGCAUAAAGGUCGUGCAAAGACUAACGGGUCGGAUCUCCGCCCUAAGCCGAUUCAUAUCGAGGUCAUCCGAUCGAAGUCAUAAAUUUUUUUCUCUACUCAAAAAGAAGAACGAUUUUUCGUGGACCCCGGAGUGCCAACAAGCUUUAGAAGGACUAAAAUGAUAUAUGUCAAGCGCAUCACUGCUUCACACUCCAAAAACCGAUGAGAAACUUUGCUUGUACCUAGCAGUGUCGGAAGUCGCCAUAAGCGGUGUCCUGGUUCGAGAAGAGCAAGGUACGCAAUUCCUAGUUUAUUAUACAAGUCGAAUCUUAGGAGAGGCGGAAACUAGAUAUCCGCUCCUUGAAAAGUUGGCGCUUGCACUAAUAAGCGCCUCGAGGAAGUUAAGGCUGUAUUUCCAAUGUCAUCCCAUAUGCGUAUUGUCUACUUACCCGCUUCGUAAUAUUUUGCACAAACCCGAGUUAUCAGGCCGGCUGGCCAAAUAGGCCGUCGAACUCAGUGGGUACGAUAUCGAAUAUCGACCCCGUACGGCCAUCAAGUCUCAAGUCCUAGCAGACUUCGUGGCCGAUUUCACACCAGCCCUCAUACCCGAAGCCGAAAAAGAACUGUUGAACUCAGGUACAUCAUCGGGGGUAUGGGUCCUUUUUACAGAUGGGGCUUCAAACGUAAAAGGGUCCGAGCUGGGCAUAGUUUUGAAACCACCCAUGGGUGGCAUUAUUAGACAAUCUAUUACGAAGCCGUGAUUGCAUGUCUCGAGCUAGCUAGAAAUUUAGGAGCAGAAAUCAUUGAAGCCGACUGCGAUUCCUUGCUGGUGGUGAGUCAAGUAAACAAAACUAACAAAAAAGGGAAAAACAAUUGCAUCUAGAGAGUCUCGAUCCCAGGUGUUGUGCAUGGAAUUUCAGCACUUCAACCAUCGCACCUUUAGUCAUUUUGUGACUUGGGGUGCCACUUGUUCCUUAUGUAGGUGUUUUUGUGGGAAAUACUAGUAUGUAUAUAAAACUUUAUCCGAGCGACCGGGUGGCGUACCACCCCCAACUCAAUACAUAGAUCCGCCCCUGGCCACCAGUACCACCAGCUAAGGCCAUAAGAGGCUGAGGUCGAGGUAUAGGUCGUGGUAGGGGUAGAGGUGCAACUCGUAUAACAGCUAGGGCAGCACCUGCAGACCCAGCAGUUGCCCCACCCCCAGAGCAGGUACCAAUUGCGGAUGAGCCAGUGGGGCCAGCUCAGGCACCAACUGUGCCUAUUGUGAUUCUAGGACUUUAGGAGGCCUUAGCUCAAAUUCUGACCGUGUGCACCAGUCUUGCUCAGGAGGUCUCUGUUCCGGCUGCAGCAGCCACUUCUCAGGCCAGGGGAGGUACACAGACUCCCGCCACCCUUACACCAGAGCAGGUGAUAUAGGGACUCCAAACACCGGGGGCACUACCAGCCUAGCCGGUGGCAGUUGCUCAGUCCCAUGAGGUUCCUGCUAUGACUGAUGAUGAGCAGCGGAGACUAGAGAGGUUUGGGAGACUCAAUCUUCCAUCUUUCAGUAGGAAAGAGGCGGAGGAUGCCCAGGGUUUCUUGGACAAGUGUCAGAGGACUUUCCGUACAGCAGGAAUUCUAGAGACCAGUGGGGUCUCGUUAACUACUUUUCAGUUUUCUAGGGCUGCCUUCAGAUGGUGGGAGGCUUAUGAGAGGCGCAUGGCGAUUGGUGCAGCACCACUUACUUGGCAGGAGUUCGGAGUUAUCUUCUUAGAGAAGUUCGUGUCGCACUCUCACAGAGAGGAGCUAUGCCGACAGUUUGAGCAGCUUCAUCGGGAUGGCAUGUCUGUGACGCGGUACGAGAUGAGGUUCUCUGAGUUGGCUCAUCAUGCAGUGUGGCUGGAUCCCACUGAUAGGGAGAGGAUUCAGAGGUUCAUCGAUGGCCUCACAUAUCAGUUGCGGUUGCUUAUGACUAGGGAGAGGGUAUCUGGUGAUACUUUUGAUGAGGUUGUCGACAUUGCUCGAUAGAUAGAGAUGGUCCACAGUCAGGAGCGGGGUGAGAGGGAGGCUAAGAGGCCUCGUGGAUCAGGUGGUUUUAGUGGUGUUCCUUCUAGAGGUCAGCUCUACCACUACAGGGGUCGUCCUUAUAGGCAUGCUCAGAUGGCUCGUCCAGUUCAUCGUGGUGCAUCAUCUGGCUAUGGUUCAUACAGUACACAUCAGGGUCAGUCAUCUCUCAGUGCCCUUCCAGCUCAGAGAUUGUCCCAUGCACCAUCAGCUCAGAGUCAUUUAUGUCGGGUCUUUCUAGCAGUUAUCUCGAUGCUCGGGGCUCCCUUCAGUCCCCACCGCCAUGCACAGGGAGAGGUUGUUUUGAGUGUGGAGACUUGGGUCAUAUCAAGAGGCAUUGUCCCUGCCUUUUGGGAGGUUCAGCUCAGUAGAGGAUUCAGCUUACGACUUUAGCACCCGUUACUUCACCACCCGCCCAGCCAGCUCGUGGUAGAGCUCAGUCAGCUAGGGGUUGCCCUAGAGGGGGAGGCCGAUUAGGUGGCAGCUAGGCCCGAUUCUAUGCACUCCCUGGCAGGCCAGAUGCUAUUGCUUCAGACAUAGUGAUCACAGGUAUUGUCUCAGUAUGUCACCGAGAUGCUUCUGUAUUAUUUGACCCUAGUUCCACCUAUUCAUAUGUAUCAUCGUAUUUUGCUCAUUAUCUGGUUAUGCCCCAUGAGUCUUUAGCUUCAUCUGUUCAUAUAUCUAUGUCGGUGGGCGAUACUAUUAUUCUGGACCGUGUGUACAUUCGUGUGUGGUGACUAUUGGGGGAUUGGAGACUAGAGUUGAUCUCUUGUUGCUUAGUAUGGUCGAUUUUGACGUGAUAUUGGGUAUGGAUUGGUUGUCUCCAUGUCAUGCUAUUUUGGAUUGUCAUGCUAAGACCGUGAUGUUGGCGAUUCCGGGGUUGCCACAGAUUGAGUGGAGAGGUUCUCUAGACUAUGUUCCCAGUAGAGUGAUUUCAUAUUUGAAGGCCCAACAGAUGGUUGGGAAGGGUUGUUUAUCUUAUUUGGCUUUUGUGAGGAAUAUUAGUGCUGAUACUCCUACUAUAGAUUCUAUUCUGGUGGUGCGGGAGUUUCCGAACGUAUUUCCUGUAGACCUGCCGGGCAUGCCGCCCGACAGGGAUAUUGACUUUGGUAUUGACUUGGUGCCGGGCACUCAGCUUAUUUCUAUUCCACCAUAUCGCAUGGCACCAGCUGAGUCGAAGGGAUUGAAGGAGCAACUUCAGGAACUCCUUGAUAAGGGGUUUAUUAGGCCUAGUAUGUCGCCUUGGGGUGCACCGGUUCUGUUUGUAAAGAAGAAGGAUGGCACUAUGAGAAUGUGCAUUGAUUAUAGGUAGUUGAACAAAGUCACAAUCAAGAACAAAUAUCCUUUGCCGUGUAUUGAUGAUCUGUUUGACCAGCUUCAGGGAGCGAGGGUGUACUCCAAGAUUGAUUUGAGGUUUGGGUAUCACUAGAUGAAGAUUCGGGACUUGGAUAUUCUAAAGACAAUAUUCAGGACCCGUUAUGGUCAUUAUGAGUUCCUUGUUAUGUCUUUUGGGCUGACCAACGCCCCAGCAGUGUUUAUGCAUAUGAUGAAUAGUGUGUUUCAGCCUUAUCUCGACUAGUUUGUUAUAGUGUUCAUUGAUGAUAUCCUGGUGUACUAUCAUAGCCAGGAAGAGCAUACCCAGUAUUUGAGGAUUGUGUUGCAGCGGUUGAGGGAGGAGAAGCUUUAUGCCAAGUUCUCCAAGUGUGAGUUUUGGCUCAGCUCAGUGGCAUUCUUGGGGCACGUGGUGUCCAGUGAGGGUAUUCAGGUUGAUCCAAAGAAGAUAGAGGCGGUCCAGAGUUGGCCUAGAGCAUCCUCAUCUACGGAGAUUCAGAUCUUUCUUGUCUUGGCUGGUUAUUAUCGUCGCUUUGUGGAGGGUUUGUCGUCUAUUGCAUCUCCCUUGACCUAAUUGACCCAAAAGGGUGCUCCUUUCAGGUGGUCGGAUGAGUGUGAGGAGAGCUUUCAGAAGUUCAAGACUGCCUUGACCACAAUUCCAGUUCUAGUUUUGCCAUCAGCUUUAAGCUCUUAUACAAUGUAUUGUGAUGCUUAUCGGAUCGGCAUUCAGUGUGUUGAUGCAGGAGGGGUUGAGUGAUUGCUUAUGCUUCAUGCCAGUUGAAACCUCAUGAGAAGAACUACCCUGUUCAUGAUUUGGAGUCAGCCGCCAUCGUUCAUGCAUUGAAGAUUUGGAGGCAUUACCUCAACGGUGUGUCUUGUGAGGUGUUUACGGAUCAUCAGAGCCUCCAGCACUUGUUCAAACAGAUAGAUCUAAAUUUGAGGCAGCGGAGAUGGUUGGAGCUGCUAAAGGACUAUGAUAUCACCAUUCUGUAUCAUCACGGGAAGGCCAAUGUAGCGGACGAUGCCUUGAGAAGAAAGGCAGUGAGUAUGGGUAGCGUUGCAUUUAUUCUCAUUGGUGAGAGACCUCUUGCAGUUGCUGUUCAGGCCUUGGCCAACCGGUUUGUGAGAUUGGAUAUUUCGCAGCCCAGUUGCAUCCUAGCUUGUGUGGUUUCUCGGUCUUCCUUAUUUGAUCGCAUCAGAGAGCAUCAAAUGUGGAUGGGCUACGUGAGUUGAUUCUUGAGGAGGCCCACAGUUCACGGUAUUCCAUCCAGCUAGGUGCCGCGAAGAUGUAUCAGGACUUAAGGCAGCACUAUUGGUGGAGAAGAAUGAAGAAGGAUAUAGUAGAAUUUGUAGCUCAGUGCCUUAAUUGUCAGCAAGUGAAGUAUAAGCAUCAGAGACCGAGUGGAUUGCUUCAGAGGUUAGAGAUUCCAGAGUGGAACUGGGAGCGGAUCACCAUGUAUUUCGUAGUUGGGUUCCCACGGACUUCGAGGAAGUUCGAUGCUAUUUGGGUGAUUGUGGAUCGGUUGACCAAGUUUGCACACUCCAUUCCAGUUGGUACUACCUAUUCCUCGGAGCGGUUGGCUGAGAUUUACAUCCGAGAGAUUGUCCGCCUUCACGGUGUGCCAGUGUCCAUCAUUUCAGAUCGAGACACGCAGUUUACAUCACAGUUUUGGAGAGCAGUAUAGCGAGAGUUGGGCAUUCAGGUUGAGUUGAGCACAUCAUUUCACCCUCAGAUGGACGGACAGUCCGAGCGCACUAUUUAGAUAUUGGAGGACAUGCUACGCGCUUAUGUCAUUGAUUUUGGGGGUUCUUGUGACCAGUUUCUGCCACUUGCGGAGUUUGCCUACAACAACAGUUACCAGUCGAGCAUUCAUAUGGCUCCGUAUGAGGCUUUGUAUGGGAGGCGGUGUAGAUCUCUGGUGGGUUGGUUUGAGUCGGGUGAGGCUAGGCUAUUGGGUACUACUGACUUGGUUCAGGAUGCUUUGGACAAGGUUAAAUUGAUUUAGGAGCGACUUCGCACAGUACAGUCUAGACAGAAGAGUUAUGCCGAUAGCAAGGUCUGUGAUGUGUCUUACAUGGUUGGGGAGAAGGUUCUGCUGAAGGUUUCACCCAUGAAGGGUGUUAUGAGAUUCGGGAAGAAGGGCAAGUUGAGCCCUCAGUUCAUUGGGCCUUUUGAGGUACUUCAGAGGAUUGGGGAGGUGGCUUACAAGCUUGCCUUGCCACCUAGUUUGUUGAGUGUGCAUCCAGUAUUUCAUGUUUCUAUUCUGCGGAAGUACAUCGGCGAUCUGUCUCAUGUUUUGGAUUUCAGCACGGCUCAGUUGGAUGGUGAUUUGACUUAUGGUGUGGAGCGGGUGGCCAUUUUGGAUCGGUAAGCUUGAAAGUUAAAGUGAAAGGAUAUAGCUUCAGUGAAGGUGCAGUGGAAAGGUCAGCCCGUUGAGGAUGCUACUUGGGAAAACGAGUGGGAGAUGUGGAGUAGAUACCCACGCCUAUUUGACACUCCAAGUAUGUUUCUAGACCCGUUCGAGGACGAACGUUUGUUUAAGAGGGGGAGGAUGUAACGACCCGACCGAUCUUUUUGAGAGUGGUAGGCUUGUUCCCCCAUUUACUGCUUCUUUUGUGCUCUACAGUGUUACAUGACUUACCGGUUUGGUCGGUUCGGGUACGGAGAGAUUUCGGAGUGAAUUGAGACACUUAGUCUCUUAAUGGAAAGCUUAAGUUGGAAAAGUUGACCGGAAGUUGUCUUAUGUAUAAACGACCCCGGAUUUGAGUUUUGAUGAUUCCAUUAGCUUUGUUGAGUGAUUCCGGACAUAGGAGCGUGUCUGAAUUGUGAUUUGGAGGUCCGUAGUAGAAUUAGGCUUGAAAUGGUGAAAGUUGGAAGUUUGGAAAGUUUGACCGGGAGUGGACUUUUUGAUAUCGGGGUCGAAUUCCGAUUUUGAAAGUUGGAGUAGGUCUUGGUGUCAUUUUGUGACUUGUGUGCAAAAUUUGAGGUCAAUCGGACGUGAUUUGACAACUUUCGACGUCGUUUGUAGAAUUUGGAAACUUCAAAGUUCAUUAGGCUUGAAUCUAUGUGCGAUUUGUGUUUUUGAUGUUGUUUGAGGGGAUUUGAUGGUCGCCUAAGUUUGUAUGAUGUUUUAAGACGUGUUGGUAUGUUUGGUUGAGGUCCCGGGGGCUUUGGGUUGAUUUCGGGUGGUUAACGGACCAAGGUGUGAAGUUGAAGAAUUACUGAAGAUUUGCAAUUGCUUGUGUAAUCGCACAUGCGGAUUGGGAACCGCAGAUGCGAGCCCGCAGAAGCAUGAAGGGAGCCGCAGAAGAAGGCCAGGAAGGAAUUGGAAGAGGUCGCAGGUGCAAGGUCUUUUCCGCACCUGCGAGGCCGCAGAUGCGGCGAAGAGGGCGCAAAAGCGGAGUGUGAAGGAGUUGAGGGGUGUAGGUUGUUUCCGCAGAAGCGGAUCAUGGGCCGCAGAAGCGCCUCCGCAGGUGCGAGACCUGGAGCGCAGGUGCGAGCCCAGGUGAGUUAAGUGACUUCCGCAGGUGCGGAGUUUUCACUGCAAAAGCGGGACCGCAGAAGCAAAUUUUGGGACCGCAGGUGCGUUGUGACUAGGCAGAACAUAUAAACAUAAGGGUUCGCGAUUUUCUUCAUUUUCAAACAUUUUGAGCUUGGACUAAGGCGAUUUUUGAGAGGGUUUUCGAGGGGAUUCUUGAGGUAAGUCCCUUGUGCUUGUUUUUGAUAAAUAAUCUUGUAUCCCCAUCAAUUUUCCCACCUAAUUUGGGGUUUUUUGAGGUGUAAUUUGAGAGUUUGGGGUUAGGGAUUUGGAGAGUUGAUUUUGGGGAUUUGAAUGACCAAUUGGUGUCAGAUUUUGAUGAAUUUGAUAUGACUAGACUCGUGAGUGGAUGGGCUUUCGAAUUUUGUAGAUUUUGUUGGAUUCCGAGACGUGGGCCCGGGGACAGUUUUAAACUAAUUUCGGAUUUUGAGUUAUAACUUAGUAAUUUCUUGUAGGAUUGAUUGAUUUAGCCCGUAUUGAUUGUAUUGUACUGUUUGUAGCUAGAUUCGGGUCAUUUGGAGGCCGAUUUGCGUGGCAAAGGCGUAUUGGAGUGGGGAUUUGCUCGGAUUGAGGUAAGUAACACUUCUAAACUUGGUUCUGAGAGUUCGAAACCCCGAAUUAUGUGUUAUGUUAUUGGUAUUGAGGUGACGCACAUACCAAGUAACGGGCGUGCGGGCGUGCACCGUGAGAAUUGUGACCUGAUCGAUUCCAUGGCACUGUAUAGUGGUUCUAUCUUGUUGAUAUCCGUGUUUUCAUCAUGUGAUAAAGUAAUUGAGUUGUCACUCAUGCUAGAUAUCAUGUUUAGGCUUUAUGCCGGUACUGUUGGGGCCCAUAGUGGCCGUUUCUUGCUAUUGUCUUACUGAUUUCAUUGGUAUUUCAUACUCAGUCAUAUUCAUUCAUUUCAUAUCAUAUCUCAGUCUCUGUAAUUAUUUAUUGAUACAUCAUAUCAUUGUUUUCGAGCUAGUAUCAUGACAUUGUUAGCCCGUGAAAGAGAGACCGGAGAGAUUGAUGACUAAGUGAGGCCGAGGGCCUGAUUAUGAGUGACAUUAAUGGGAUCGGGCUGCACGCCGCAGCGGUUAUACUGAUUUAUGAUAGCGCUUGGGGUGAAGGAGCCCCUCCGGAGUCUGCACACACCCCUAGUGAGCGCGGUUGAUUAUAUUGAGGGAUGGAUCUUCCCUGGAUAUGGAUCUUGUCCGAAGCAUUAUAUACCUAGAGAUGGAUCUUCUCCACGGGCUAGAUUGGCCCUACUCAGUACUGGACUAAUGGUCAGUGAUGUAUAUAUUUCGGGAUGGAUCUUCCAUGGGUCGUAUGGGCCAUGUACAAUACCGAGUGAUUGAGCAGUUGAGAGUGUGAGCACAUAAUGCUGUCAGCAUGGUGUAUCACAUACAACAUGUGCAUUGGCAUGUAGAAGUAGAGGAGUUAUAUUCUUCAUAUCAUUCAGAUUUACUCUAUUUUUUUACUGUUGAAUUUUCUAUUGAAUUUGAAAUCAUGCCUACUUUUCUACACUGUUAUUUUUAUAUUGAAAUGUGUCGGUUGAGUUCGUCAUUACCUUUCAGUCCAAAGUUUGGAUUUGUUACUUAUUGAGUUGGUUGUACUCAUGCUACACUCUGCAUCUCAUGUGCAGAUCCAGGUGCUUCCGGUUACAGCAGCUGCUGAGUGAGGAGUCGAGAUCUCGGAGACUAUCGAGGUAGCUGCAUGGCAUUUGCAGGCCUUGACUCUCCUUCAUUAUCUUUAUUUGUAUUUCAGUUCUUAUUCCUUAGACAUUUUAGUAGGCUGUAUCCUGGUACAAAUGCUCAUAUACUCGGUGACACCCUGAUUUUGGGAUAAAUUGUAUUGUGUUGCGGAUUUAUUUCUGUUUCAAAAAGGAUUUUCUUUAAUAUAAAUUGCU
rnacentral:lncRNA from 1 species